UUGGCGGACGGGUGAGUAACGCGUGGAAAACCUGCCGUAUACUGGGGGAUAACACUUAGAAAUAGGUGCUAAUACCGCAUAAGCGCACAGCUUCGCAUGAAGCAGUGUGAAAAACUCCGGUGGUAUACGAUGGUUCCGCGUCUGAUUAGCUAGUUGGUGAGGUAAAAGCCCGCCAAGGCAACGAUCAGUAGCCGGCCUGAGAGGGUGAACGGCCACAUUGGGACUGAGACACGGCCCAAACUCCUACGGGAGGCAGCAG
rnacentral:rRNA from 1 species